rnacentral:rRNA from 1 species
AUUGAACGCUGGCGGCAUGCCUUACACAUGCAAGUCGAACGGUAACAGGUUAAGCUGACGAGUGGCGAACGGGUGAGUAAUGUAUCGGAACGUGCCCAGUCGUGGGGGAUAACUGCUCGAAAGAGCAGCUAAUACCGCAUACGACCUGAGGGUGAAAGCGGGGGAUCGCAAGACCUCGCGCGAUUGGAGCGGCCGAUAUCAGAUUAGCUAGUUGGCGGGGUAAAAGCCCACCAAGGCGACGAUCUGUAGCUGGUCUGAGAGGACGACCAGCCACACUGGGACUGAGACACGGCCCAGAAUCCUACGGGAGGCAGCAGUGGGGAAUUUUGGACAAUGGACGCAAGUCUGAUCCAGCCAUGCCGCGUGCGGGAAGAAGGCCUUCGGGUUGUAAACCGCUUUUGUGAGGGAAGAAAAGGUUCUGGUUAAUACCUGGGACUCAUGACGGUACCUGAAGAAUAAGCACCGGCUAACUACGUGCCAGCAGCCGCGGUAACAC